UACGUAGGAGACGAGCGUUGUCCGGAAUCACUGGGCGUAAAGCGCGUGUAGGCGGAUGAGCAAGUCGGAAGUGAAAGCCCGGGGCUCAACCCCGGAAUGUCUUUCGAAACUGCUGAGCUAGAGUGCAGAAGAGGCAACUGGAAUUCCCAGUGUAGCGGUGAAAUGCGUAGAUAUUGGGAAGAACACCUGAGGCGAAGGCGGGUUGCUGGGCUGACACUGACGCUGAGGCGCGAAAGCCAGGGGAGCGAACGGG
rnacentral:rRNA from 1 species